GAGCCCAGUAAGGGGGUGGGGCUCAGGGAGGGACUGGAUCCCGACCAGACUCCGCCCCGCUGGGUGGCUGCAAGGUCCCGGAGGUCUCCAGCGGUAAAGCGAGGGCUUUCGGGACUGUGUGGUCUUGGUCUCGGAGGGUCUCAUCUGAGACUCUGAAAGAAGCCACGCCGGGGCUGGGCCUGCGGGCGGUGCACACAGGGAUAAGAAUCAGAAGGCAGAGAACCGGCAGAGCCAGUUUAACUUGGAGGAAAAUACUAUUGGCUCUACUUUUUGUGCACUGCAAUACAAGGUUCCGCUGUCAAUAGUGUAACAGCGGGAAAAUCCAAGAGGAAAAACUAUAUCAGCAUGACAUAGAGUCAAGACACACAGCUCACCCUGUGGAGGCCUCA